rnacentral:rRNA from 1 species
CCUACGGGGGGCUGCAGUGGGGAAUAUUGCACAAUGGGCGCAAGCCUGAUGCAGCCAUGCCGCGUGUGUGAAGAAGGCCUUCGGGUUGUAAAGCACUUUCAGCGGGGAGGAAGGCGUUAAGGUUAAUAACCUUGGCGAUUGACGUUACCCGCAGAAGAAGCACCGGCUAACUCCGUGCCAGCAGCCGCGGUAAUACGGAGGGUGCAAGCGUUAAUCGGAAUUACUGGGCGUAAAGCGCACGCAGGCGGUCUGUCAAGUCGGAUGUGAAAUCUCCGGGCUCAACCUGGGAACUGCAUUCGAAACUGGCAGGCUAGAGUCUUGUAGAGGGGGGUAGAAUUCCAGGUGUAGCGGUGAAAUGCGUAGAGAUCUGGAGGAAUACCGGUGGCGAAGGCGGCCCCCUGGACAAAGACUGACGCUCAGGUGCGAAAGCGUGGGGAGCAAACAGGAUUAGAUACCCGAGUAGUC